CGGCGCCCCGCGGGAAUCUGGAGCCGCCCGCUGAGCGGCCAGUUAGGACACCCGGCCCGCGCGCGCCCCCUGCCGGCAGCGCCCUGCAGCCGCCGCCCCGCCACGCCACGCCCACACCGUGGCCACGCCCCGGCCGCGUGCUCGCCCGCCAAGCCCCGCCCACCGCACGCCGCGCUGUUGGAGGGUCUCUGGCAUCUAAGCCGGAGCGUGCGGACGUUGAAAGUGAGGCAGACGCCCCGUAAGCCGGUCGCCGCGCGGAAAGAGGCCGGGACUCGUCGGUCGCCGCGGGCUUGUGGAGGCCCACGGCGGCGUCGACAGCGCUCUGGACAUGGAGCCUCCGCCCGCGAGCAGCCAAGACGACGCCGCUUACCGCGGCCCAGGCGUCGAGGAGCUCCGAGGAGAACGGCCUGAUACGAAGCCUGUGGUGAUCUCAGUAACCACAGGAGACGUCGAGAAGGAUCUCGAGUCCGAGCCUGAGCUGGGGGCAGAGGCAGCCGCAGAAGAAAGCCACGGUGGCGCGGGAGCUCCCGGCCCCGUGGACGACGAAAACCAGAGGGGGGGCGGCGGCGACGGCGGCGGCGACGAGGAGGAGGAGGAGGAGCCCCCGCAGCAGCAGGACGAGGCCUCCGCAGCCGCCGAGGGGCCGCAGCCCCAGGACCCGCAGCAGCGCCUCCUCCGCGGCUUGUUCACCCGGUUGGAGCUGAAGGAGCUGGAGAGCGUUUUCCAACGCGCUCAAUACCCUGACGUGUUCGCGCGGUGAGCCGCUCGCUCCGCAGGCGCCCCGCUCUCUAGGACGCUCGGCUCGGCCGGCCGGGGCGCUGCUGGCUCUCUCCCAGGUCUCCCUUCCCUCCAGAGCCAGAGCUACCUAGGGGGCUCGGACUGCGUCCAGGGGGGGGCGAUGCCUAGUGGGCAGCAAGGGAAAUCUUUUCAUGCAGUAUAGAAAUGAGUCGUCAGGAAACUCGGGCCACGCCCCUGUUUUUGUAAAUAAUAUUCUGUUGGAGCAGAUUGCGACCAGGAUUAGGAGUGACAGCAGGUUAAGAGGCACGGUUGUGUGAGUGCAGGGGGUGGAUCUUGCCUUUAUUUAAAAUUUUGAUAACUUGGUCGUCCUGGAAUUUAUUGUGCAUUAGUCUUUUAAAUACAUUGUAAUUUUUAAUUUUGAGUUCUGAGUUUUUCAAGGUACCCUUAAAUUUUGCACACAAAGAAAAAUUGUCCCUAAAGCAAGCCCGGACUUGGGUGUUUCAGAAACGUGUGCUGGGGAAUGGUGGAAAAUAUGAAUUUAAAAACAAGCACAAAAUGUACAUUGUAUAUCUCAUUUCAUCCACAACUUCAGAUACUAAAUAUUUGCAAUUUUCUUCCCUCAGAAAGGAUCUUACAAUAUGCGUGGAUGUGUCAGAGACCAGUAAACCUGAAAAAAGCAAUUUGCCUGGGGAGCAAUCGUAAAACCUGCUUCACGUCUGAUGCUUCUGUUCUACACAUUCCCAACUUGUUUUGGUUGUCUUUUCCAUGUUUGGAAAAUAAGUUUUGAAGUUUAGGGCUUUGGUGAGUGGAAAAUGGGAUAAGUAAACCCUACUUUAUGGAAAUUGCCCAUUACCAGGAUUUUGAUUUCUUGAAGGAAAACGAUAAAAGAGAACCUGCUUCUCCUAUUUCCUGUGCAAAAUUAAAUACAAAUAAAGUUUUACUCUUUAUGACA
rnacentral:lncRNA from 12 species